UGUUCUAUCAUAAACAAUAGUUGUUUUCACUUCCCCUCCUUCUCACAUGGAAGAGGAGUGAGAUUCAUCCAUUGGCAUUUAUUUGUGAAAUAGAGUCUUGUCUCUUCAUACAUCAUAUACCAAAUUAACUAUGUUAGCUGCAUUAAUUUUUACAUCCCGUUUAAUUAUCCUGUUUAAAAUUAUGGAUGCUUAUACUGGUAUGAAGGUGUUUUACACUGCCACUGGGUUUCUUUCUGCUAAGGAAAAACAAGCUAUUCUUAUACAGCUCCUAAACUGGAGGUGUACAGCUUUAACUGUACUAAUGUAGUUAGGUCAGCACAACUCUCUAUUGUAAACAAGGUCUAUAUUGCACAGCUAAGGCUAGAUUACUCGGGUUUGCACAAGGUCUGCCUACAGAAUAUGCACAACCAGUGUUACUAGUUGUGUUUUAAUAAAUACUAAUAACACGUGUCUAAUUACGACAGUUCAUCUCGACAUUUCCUGCCUGCCUCUCACAGAAUGACUAAGCGCUUCCCUCUCACCACCGAGCCAAUUGCUGGCUGCACACUAUUAUUAGGGGCAGUCCUGUAUAAUUUUCACAAUUACAGUAUAUGUCAUUUCAUACUUGUGGACUGCCAACAAGAGAGCAGUGUCCAUCCAGAAGAAAAAUACUGCCUGUAAUCACUUUCAAGGGCUGAGAGAGGCAAAUGUUUACUCACAGGCACAGCUUUUCUGACCGUGAAUAGUCCCCGUGCUUUCAAAGGGAUUAAGCCUGCUAAUCAAUGAAAGCAGGAGUCCAAGGACAAGCAACAAGAUUGAUUGAUGCCCGUCCUUGACGUUUCAGGACCAGAACCACUAACAGAUGCUGUAGAGAAGCUCACUGUGCACAUUUUUAAUCCACAUCAUAUACAUGAGUGUAGUAAAUUCAUAAACUGAGGGAGUAGGAUAUUGUCAGCCUGAAUGACACUGAAAGCAUUUGCGUUCACAAAAAAUGUAAUGAUCUCCCUUUUAAUAAAGCAACACAUGAAUAAAGCACCAGCAUAAACUGGGGCUAAAAAUUUAGGAUCAUAAAAUGCUAGAAUAUCCUGAAUUAAAAUGGUCCCACACAAGGAUCAUCCAGUCUAACUCACGGUUCUUCACAGCACUAUCCCCAAGAGUUACACCAUGUGCCUGAGAGUGUUGUCCAGAAGCCUGCUGAACUCUCUCAUGUUUGGUGGUGUCACCACUGCCCUGGAGACCCUGUUUGAUUGCCCAACCACCCUCUGAAUGAUGAACUUUUGUCUAAUAUCCAACCUAAAUCUCUCCUGAAACAGCUUCAGGCCCUGUCACUGUUACCACAGAGAAGAGAUCAAUGUCUGCCUGUCUUCUUCCCCUCAUGAGGCAGCUGUAACUGCAAUGAGGUCUCCCCUCAGUCUCCUCUUCUCCAGGCUGAACAGACCAAGUGAACUCAGAGACUCCUUGUGGCUUCCCCUCAAGGCCGUUCACCAUCUUUGUUGCCCUCCUUUGGACAUUUUCUAAUAGUUUAAUGUCUUCCUUUUAUUGUGGCACCCAAAACUACCCCCAGGACUUGAGGUGAGACCACCCCAGUACACCCUUGCUUGGCUGGUCAUGCUGUGCCUGGUGCCCCCCAGGACAGGGCUGUCCCUCCUGGCUGCCAGGGCGCUGCUGAUUCUUGUUCAGCUUUCUGUUGUUGAUCAGGAUCCCAAGGUCCCUUUUCCAUGGUGCUGCUCUCCAGCAUCUCAUCCCCCAGACCGGCUGUAUAUCCAGAAUUGCCCCACCCCAGGUGCAGAAUCCAGAACUUUUCCUUAUUCCAUUCAUAUGAUUGGUGAUUGCUCAGUCCUCUCAGUCCUUUGUUGAGGUCUCUCUGCAGGGCCUCUGCCCUUGAGGGAGCCAACAGCUCUUCCCAAUUUAGUGUCAUCUGCAGACUUACAUAGUAUCCUAGGGGUAUAUAAGAGUCUUUCUAGCAAAAAUGACUUAAAAAUAGAUUAUUUGGGGCCAUAUUGAAACAGUAAGGCAUCUCCCUCCUGACCAAGACUGUCACAAGCAGCAGCAUACAAUAGAAGGCUAGAUUAGGAGCCAGCAGCCUGAGUUCAAAUCCUUCUGUUCUUGACCUGCUCAGCAGAGUGAAGAGGUCAGUGUAUCCCUCUGUUUCCCUUCCCACUGAAGUUCUUGGUUUCUCCUUUCUGUGUUUUGACCUCUUUGCCACCUUUGACUUUUAUCUUUUUGGAGCCAGACCAUCUUUCCCAGUGUUUCCAUAAAGUUUAGCAGAAUGUGUCUCUGGGUCUUUGUGUGAUUCAACUGAUGCAAUUAUAAUUUGGCAGGAAGAAAAUUAAUUUCCUUUUUUAGGCAAGGAAAUGAUCCCAAAUAUAUGUUAACAUCUGAGAACUGGGUUUCAACAAAUGACUGUUUGCUUCUGUGGCGUCUACUUCAGCAUGCCAUUGACUUCACAGGACGUCUCCUGGGGACUGGAGCUGUGCAUAUGCUGCAGACAACUUUCCUUUGGCUGAAGACUACAGAAAGCUAGACUGGCGUUAACAGCUGCCUGAAGCACAGGUUACAGUAAAGUAUAUCGUGUUCAUAUCAUCGUUACAUACCUUGGAUUCCACUGUAAGCCUGAAGCCUGGGAGUGAGGAGAACUCUUUGGACCAUAAAUACAUCAGCUCGGUGCAAUGAACUAUGUGAAUUUGUCCUUCAGUAAAGGGAAAAGGAGAAACCACUUUCAUUCCACAGUGGUAUUAUUGAGAUUGCUAUAGCGCAAAUCAAGACAGGAUUUUUUCUCUUGUCCCAGAAAACUUGGAGACAUUUCUGUCUGUAACAGAUACUACUGAUAUUCUCAAUACAUGUAUAUAUCUGAGGCAAGGCUAAGUGUAAAUCUUCACUCACAAUCAAACUGAAACAAUAAUUAAUGCGUGUGCUUACAGCUAUGCCUGCAAUAACAGUUCUUUAUUAUUCAAUAUGCAUUUUGUAGAGUAUUGGCAAUUUUCUUUAGGGAGAAUAGAAGAAAAAUUGUAGAAACAAGUAAGAGAUAAUUAUUAGAAACCCAGGGAAAAGAGAACUUCGGCUUUUAUGAUGCUUGGCUACUGUAGAGAGAAAAUGGACCAAAGGCCCAGAGAACCAAAGGUGAGGAGAAAAUAAGGCAUGAUGCUUUCAUGAGGGAAGGACUUGGAAGCAAAAGAAAUGUUUCACCUUCCCUAAUACUGAAUUUUUCAUAUGGCCAAAAUGAGCAUAAGAGGAAAAAAUAAAGCCAGAGGUAGAAAUCCAUCUGGCUGAGAAUGGAUCCAACAGAUUCUUCAUUAUUGUUGUUGUUGUUGAAGUCCAAUACAUAGUUGGAAGAUACAGAUUUUUAAAAAUAAUGCAUAUUUUAAAGUAAUUGUAUCCACAACUACCAGAAGCAAGUUCAGCAUAAAGAAAAAUGCUUCACUGCUUUCCCUAACAAGAAAAAAAAGGGCAUAAUAUAUCUCUGAUUGAAAACACGUCCUCUUUUCUCUCUCAUUUGUUGUCAAAGUCUGACAAACUUAUUUGCAUUCACUUCUUCCAAAAUUUCUGACAGUUUUGUCAGUGGCAGCCAAACCUCUGUGCCUUGAAACACAGCAUUGUCAGAUCAUCCGAGCACAGUCUUAGCUGCACAGUUUACUCUACAAAAAUUGCGAUUAAAUAAACAGAUUCUGAAAAUAGGGCAUUAGGGUGUUUGUUUGCACUUGGAAAUCAUGGUUGUUUUUUAUCUUACCAGAAAAAUUGCCCCGCAAAGCGAUUUCCGACCCUUGAUUCAGCAUGAUGCUUCGGCAGCGUUCCCAAUCCCUGUUAAUCCUGGGCAUAAAAACCACCCGAGGCUACUGCGUGCUGCUGCAGAGCACUACACUGUGGGUCAAAGGGACAGCCCUUCUCACCUUUCUUUACUGCCCUCUAGCAAACAAAUAAUUUUGAGAUGUUGAAAACAUUUGGAGUUAAUAGGAGAGACCCUACCCCCACAUGCAGAGUGUUUCCAGUGAGCAGCACGGGGCUGUGCAGGUUUCACCUGUGCAUUAGCUCAUCCGUGGGCAGUUCCAGCAAGGCUCAGAACAUGAGGCCCCUCUAGCAGGGCUUGCAAAAGCUAAUCCACAAAAUGUUUCUGCUAAUUGAGUCAUGUGCUUGAACAUGUGGAAAUCAGAAACUAGCUGAACCUUUUUAUCUAAUUGCUAAAUUGAGCUUUGUGUACUUCAACUGAAAGUAGCGGAGGGGACCUUCCCACUGCACAACGUAGUUGUUGGACUGUGUGUGGGCUGAAUGGGAAAUUUAAAACAGUGCUGCUGGAGUAUGAAGCCUGCCUCAGCUUCCCGUGGUUACUUCGCAUUAGCGCAGAGCUGUUUCUGUAAAUAUGCAGCCUGAAAAUACUCGGUUACAAACUCCCAUCCGUGCAGAGCUACAACCGGAUUUGCAAAAAUGUGUGGAAAAAAGAGAUGAACAUUUUCAAGAUUCCUUUACUGCUGCUGAAAAUGAAUCAUCUAUACAUAAAAAUUAUGAAAACUCAAAAAAAAGGCACAUUAACAUACAUCUAAAGAAGAACUGGAUAACAAUUAUAUAAAUACCAAGUCUCUACCGAGAUCUAAAAUAUAAUUACAGGCUCAAUUUUCUGACAGAUGAAAGAGACAAUUUUACAGAAAUUUGGUUCUGUCUAUGCCUCAAAGAUACUGAAUAAAACCUUUUUUUUUUCUGUCCUGCCACAGUGCUUCUACUAAUCAGGAUUUUUUUUUUUUUUUUUUUUCCCCAUGACGUCUUUAGUAAUACAGUUGCUACUUGGAGAAUUAUGGCAAUAACAUGAUAUUUCAACCUUGAUGACUAGGUAAAAUUAAAAUAUGGGUUUGGUACAAUAGUUUAGGUUAUUGCAAGUAUAAUGAGGUUUUUUUAAAAAUUAAACUCCUUUUUCAUUUAAGUUAUGUCUUUAUGGUAAAGGCCUACUAAAUUUUUUUGCUACCACUGCCUUGAACCUUGUGACUUUGAAUCCAGUGUGAGGGAAUUUAUUUUGAAAGUAAAACUGAAGACAGUCACCUUAUUUAAAAUGUUUUCUUGAAGGCUUUAUAUACAACAUUUAAGUGUUAGUUUCCUCCUUCAUGAGCAAGUGAGUGAGACAGAACAGGAUUUCAAUGUUCAAAUAAACGUAAUCAGUUCUUAGGACUUGUCACUAAACUUAGAUUUUCCUGUGGA